rnacentral:rRNA from 1 species
GACGAACGCUGGCGGCGUGCUUAACACAUGCAAGUCGAACGGAAAGGCCCUGCUUUUGUGGGGUGCUCGAGUGGCGAACGGGUGAGUAACACGUGAGUAACCUGCCCUUGACUUUGGGAUAACUUCAGGAAACUGGGGCUAAUACCGGAUAGGAGCUCCUGCUGCAUGGUGGGGGUUGGAAAGUUUCGGCGGUUGGGGAUGGACUCGCGGCUUAUCAGCUUGUUGGUGGGGUAGUGGCUUACCAAGGCUUUGACGGGUAGCCGGCCUGAGAGGGUGACCGGCCACAUUGGGACUGAGAUACGGCCCAGAGUCGUACGGGAGGCAGCAGUGGGGAAUAUUGCACAAUGGGCGGAAGCCUGAUGCAGCAACGCCGCGUGCGGGAUGACGGCCUUCGGGUUGUAAACCGCUUUCGCCUGUGACGAAGCGGGAGUGACGGUAAUGGGUAAAGAAGCACCGGCUAACUACGUG